CCCUUAGAUGUUCUGGGCCGCACGCGCGCUACACUGAUGCAUUCAACAAGUUUUACCUUGGCCGAGAGGCCUGGGAAAUCUUUCAAAUAUGUAUCGUGAUAGGGAUAGAUUAUUGCAAUUAUUAAUCUUGAACGAGGAAUUCCUAGUAAAUGCAGAUCAACAUUCUGCGUUGAUUACGUCCCUGCCCUUUGUACACACCGCCCGUCGCACCUACCGAUUGAAUGAUCCGGUGAAGCCUCGGGAUUGUGCCCAGAGAACUUUAUUGUGAUUUGGGUGUGAGAACUUGUCUAAACCUUAUCAUUUAGAGGAAGGUGAAGUCGUAACA
rnacentral:rRNA from 1 species